rnacentral:sRNA from 1 species
CUUUAUAGUUGCUAUCAAAGAAACGAGUCGAUGCACCGUAGCUGACUUGGUUGGCGGACUCAAU